UACAGAGGGGGCAAGCGUUAUUCGGAAUUAUUGGGCGUAAAGGGCGCGUAGGCGGCCAGGCAAGUGGAAGGUGAAAUCCCUCGGCUUAACCGAGGAACUGCCCUCCAAACUGCUUGGCUUGAGACCGGGAGAGGUGAGUGGAAUUCCCAGUGUAGCGGUGAAAUGCGUAGAUAUUGGGAGGAACACCAGUGGCGAAGGCGGCUCACUGGACCGGUACUGACGCUGAGACGCGAAAGCGUGGGGAGCGAACAGG
rnacentral:rRNA from 1 species